rnacentral:rRNA from 1 species
UAUGGUGGUUUUGCCGGGGGUGUUCACCUCUUCCCAUUCCGAACAGAGAAGUUAAGCCCCCCAUGGCCGAUGGUACUUGCACCUUGCUGGGAGAGUAGGUAGCUGCCAUAUUUAUUAAGCCCGUUCACGAAAGUGUAACGGGCUUUUUUGUUUUAUCACACCCCACCCCGUCAUCCCGAGCAAGCGUAGCGCGCCGAGGGACCUCCUCAAAGCUGCAGCAGGUCCUUCGACUCACUGCGUUCGCUCAGGAUGACG